rnacentral:rRNA from 1 species
UACGGGGGGGGCAAGCGUUGUUCGGAAUUACUGGGCGUAAAGGGCUCGUAGGUGGCCAGGUAGGUCGGUUGUGAAAACUGGAGGCUUAACCUCCAGACGUCGACCGAAACCAUCUGGCUAGAGUCCGGAAGAGGAGAGUGGAAUUCCUGGUGUAGCGGUGAAAUGCGCAGAUAUCAGGAAGAACACCCGUGGCUAAGGCGGCUCUCUAGUACGGUACUGACGCUGAGACGCGAAAGCGUGGGGAGCGAACAGG